rnacentral:rRNA from 1 species
GAAGACCAAGGGUUCCUGUCCAACGUUAAUCGGGGCAGGGUGAGUCGACCCCUAAGGCGAGGCCGAAAGGCGUAGUCGAUGGGAAACAGGUUAAUAUUCCUGUACUUGGUGUUACUGCGAAGGGGGGACGGAGAAGGCUAUGUUAGCCGGGCGACGGUUGUCCCGGUUUAAGCAUGUAGGCGGAGGUUCCAGGUAAAUCCGGUACCUUAUUAACGCUGAGGUGUGAUGACGAGGCACUACGGUGCUGAAGUAACAAAUGCCCUGCUUCCAGGAAAAGCCUCUAAGCAUCAGGUAACAUUGAAUCGUACCCCAAACCGACACAGGUGGUCAGGUAGAGAAUACCAAGGCGCUUGAGAGAACUCGGGUGAAGGAACUAGGCAAAAUGGUGCCGUAACUUCGGGAGAAGGCACGCUGAUAUGUAGGUGAAGCCCCUGCGGGUGGAGCUGAAAUCAGUCGAAGAUACCAGCUGGCUGCAACUGUUUAUUAAAAACACAGCACUGUGCAAACACG